UUUAAAGAGAGUUUGAUCCUGGCUCAGGACGAACGCUGGCGGCGUGCCUAAUACAUGCAAGUCGAACGAACGGAGGAAGAGCUUGCUCUUCCAAUGUUAGUGGCGGACGGGUGAGUAACACGUGGGCAACCU
rnacentral:rRNA from 1 species